ensembl:snoRNA U8 U8 small nucleolar RNA
UCAUUGGUGAGGUACAUCCUUACCUGUUUUUCUCUUCAAGAGAAUUACAGAAUAUGAUGAGCGGAGAUCUAAUGAGAUAUGAUUAUAUCUCCAUCCUGGCUGGGCGCAACAACCCUCCAGGACCGUUCUGAU